rnacentral:rRNA from 1 species
AUUGAACGCUGGCGGCAGGCCUAAUACAUGCAAGUCGAGCGGAACGGCGGACGGGUGAGUAAUGAAUGGGAAUCAGCCUGGUAGUGGGGGAUAAAGUCCGGGAACGGGAGCUAAUACAGCAUAAUUGCCAAUGAGCCUAGGUCGGAUUAGCUAGUUGGGGGGGGAAAGGCGUACCAAGGGGACGAUCCGUAACUGGUCUGAGAGGCUGAUCAGUCAAACUGGAACUGAGACACGGUCCAGACUCCUACGGGAGGUAGCAGUGGGGAAUAUUGGACAAUGGGCGAAAGCCUGAUCCAGCCAUGCCGCGUGUGUGAAGAAGGUCUUCGGAUUGUAAAGCACUUUAAGUUGGGAGGCGGUACCAACAGAAUAAGCACCGGCUAACUUCGUGCCAGCAGCCGCGGUAAUAC